AGACCCGAAACCCGGUGAUCUAGCCAUGGGCAGGUUGAAGGUUGGGUAACACUAACUGGAGGACCGAACCGACUAAUGUUGAAAAAUUAGCGGAUGACUUGUGGCUGGGGGUGAAAGGCCAAUCAAACCGGGAGAUAGCUGGUUCUCCCCGAAAGCUAUUUAGGUAGCGCCUCGUGAAUUCAUCUCCGGGGGUAGAGCACUGUUUCGGCAAGGGGGUCAUCCCGACUUACCAACCCGAUGCAAACUGCGAAUACCGGAGAAUGUUAUCACGGGAGACACACGGCGGGUGCUAACGUCCGUCGUGAAGAGGGAAACAACCCAGACCGCCAGCUAAGGUCCCAAAGUCAUGGUUAAGUGGGAAACGAUGUGGGAAGGCCCAGACAGCCAGGAUGUUGGCUUAGAAGCAGCCAUCAUUUAAAGAAAGCGUAAUAGCUCACUGGUCGAGUCGGCCUGCGCGGAAGAUGUAACGGGGCUAAACCAUGCACCGAAGCUGCGGCAGCGACACUGUGUGUUGUUGGGUAGGGGAGCGUUCUGUAAGCCUGUGAAGGUGUGCUGUGAGGCAUGCUGGAGGUAUCAGAAGUGCGAAUGCUGACAUAAGUAACGAUAAAGCGGGUGAAAAGCCCGCUCGCCGGAAGACCAAGGGUUCCUGUCCAACGUUAAUCGGGGCAGGGUGAGUCGACCCCUAAGGCGAGGCCGAAAGGCGUAGUCGAUGGGAAACAGGUUAAUAUUCCUGUACUUGGUGUUACUGCGAAGGGGGGACGGAGAAGGCUAUGUUGGCCGGGCGACGGUUGUCCCGGUUUAAGCGUGUAGGCUGGUUUUCCAGGCAAAUCCGGAAAAUCAAGGCUGAGGCGUGAUGACGAGGCACUACGGUGCUGAAGCAACAAAUGCCCUGCUUCCAGGAAAAGCCUCUAAGCAUCAGGUAACAUCAAAUCGUACCCCAAACCGACACAGGUGGUCAGGUAGAGAAUACCAAGGCGCUUGAGAGAACUCGGGUGAAGGAACUAGGCAAAAUGGUGCCGUAACUUCGGGAGAAGGCACGCUGAUAUGUAGGUGAAGUCCCUCGCGGAUGGAGCUGAAAUCAGUCGAAGAUACCAGCUGGCUGCAACUGUUUAUUAAAAACACAGCACUGUGCAAACACGAAAGUGGACGUAUACGGUGUGACGCCUGCCCGGUGCCGGAAGGUUAAUUGAUGGGGUCAGCGCAAGCGAAGCUCUUGAUCGAAGCCCCGGUAAACGGCGGCCGUAACUAUAACGGUCCUAAGGUAGCGAAAUUCCUUGUCGGGUAAGUUCCGACCUGCACGAAUGGCGUAAUGAUGGCCAGGCUGUCUCCACCCGAGACUCAGUGAAAUUGAACUCGCUGUGAAGAUGCAGUGUACCCGCGGCAAGACGGAAAGACCCCGUGAACCUUUACUAUAGCUUGACACUGAACAUUGAGCCUUGAUGUGUAGGAUAGGUGGGAGGCUUUGAAGUGUGGACGCCAGUCUGCAUGGAGCCGACCUUGAAAUACCACCCUUUAAUGUUUGAUGUUCUAACGUGGACCCGUGAUCCGGGUUGCGGACAGUGUCUGGUGGGUAGUUUGACUGGGGCGGUCUCCUCCUAAAGAGUAACGGAGGAGCACGAAGGUUGGCUAAUCCUGGUCGGACAUCAGGAGGUUAGUGCAAUGGCAUAAGCCAGCUUGACUGCGAGCGUGACGGCGCGAGCAGGUGCGAAAGCAGGUCAUAGUGAUCCGGUGGUUCUGAAUGGAAGGGCCAUCGCUCAACGGAUAAAAGGUACUCCGGGGAUAACAGGCUGAUACCGCCCAAGAGUUCAUAUCGACGGCGGUGUUUGGCACCUCGAUGUCGGCUCAUCACAUCCUGGGGCUGAAGUAGGUCCCAAGGGUAUGGCUGUUCGCCAUUUAAAGUGGUACGCGAGCUGGGUUUAGAACGUCGUGAGACAGUUCGGUCCCUAUCUGCCGUGGGCGCUGGAGAACUGAGGGGGGCUGCUCCUAGUACGAGAGGACCGGAGUGGACGCAUCACUGGUGUUCGGGUUGUCAUGCCAAUGGCACUGCCCGGUAGCUAAAUGCGGAAGAGAUAAGUGCUGAAAGCAUCUAAGCACGAAACUUGC
rnacentral:rRNA from 1 species